rnacentral:rRNA from 1 species
UGGGGAAUAUUGCACAAUGGGCGCAAGCCUGAUGCAGCCAUGCCGCGUGUAUGAAGAAGGCCUUCGGGUUGUAAAGUACUUUCAGCGGGGAGGAAGGGAGUAAAGUUAAUACCUUUGCUCAUUGACGUUACCCGCAGAAGAAGCACCGGCUAACUCCGUGCCAGCAGCCGCGGUAAUACGGAGGGUGCAAGCGUUAAUCGGAAUUACUGGGCGUAAAGCGCACGCAGGCGGUUUGUUAAGUCAGAUGUGAAAUCCCCGGGCUCAACCUGGCAACUGCAUCUGAUACUGGCGAGCUUGAGUCUCGUAGAGGGGGGUAGAAUUCCAGGUGUAGCAGUGAAAUACGUAGAGAUCUGGAGGAAUACCGGUGGCGAAGGCGGCCCCCUGGACAAAGACUGACGCUCAGGUGCGAAAGAGUGGGGAGCAAACAGG